AGGCUUGGUGAUUAAAACAUAAAACAGAAGAGCCCUGCUUAAGUGCAUACCACCUCAGCCAUGGUGGGGAGUCCGGAAGGAUCAGGAGCCAGCGGUGGAUACAUCAUGGACUUCAGACACAGCACUCCUCUGACCUGGAAGCCUCCUCCCUGAGGACUAGUUUCAUAAUACCGAAAGGUGCUGAGCAAGCUGCCAAGGGAGGAAAGCAAUAAGCAGUCCCAUCCAGCUGUGAUGCCUAUGAACCACAACGAUGACCAGCAUGGGAACCUCAGAGACAUGGGAAGCUGCUCCCCACAGCCAGAGCUGCAGCAAUUGACUCUUCCUCAAGAAAGAACAGAUGUCCAGCUUCUAGAUGUGAAGCGAACAGAGCCUGGUGGUGCUCAGGGUCAGCUUCGGCUUUGGAGCUAGGCUGUCCCGGGGACGGUCCCAGACAAUGACGGGAUACUACAACGGUCCAGCUCUAGAUGUGAAGUGAACAGAGCCUGGUGGUGCUCAGGGUCAGCUUUGGCUUUGGAGCUAGGCUGUCCUGGGGACGGCCCCAGCCAAUGACGGGAUACUACAACGGUCCAGCUCUAGAUGUGAAGCGAACAGAGCCUGGUGGUGCUCAGGGUCAGCUUCGGCUUUGGAGCUAGGCUGUCCUGGGGACGGCCCCAGCCAAUGACGGGAUACUACAACGGUCCAGCUCUAGAUGUGAAGUGAACAGAGCCUGGUGGUGCUCAGGGUCAGCUUCGGCUUUGGAGCUAGGCUGUCCUGGGGACGGUCCCAGCCAAUGACGGGAUACUACAACGGUCCAGCUCUUUCUGUGCAACGAUGUCCUGGUCUAGCUAGAAACCUUGGGCGUCUUUGUGCCGGAGCUCCCACAGGCCAAGCAGGCACUGUGUCAGGUCUGGUAUUUCAGCCCCACAUUCAGGGCCCCAUGCGUCUUCACCUCUUGCUUCUUCAGUGACUUUCAUGCGCUCCCAAUCAGCCAGCCUCCACUUCUGUGAGAACUGGAGCAUCACGGGCAAGGCAUACAGACCCCUGAUCCCUGACAGAACCGGUCUCCACGGCAGAUGCUUCUUCUGUGGCUCCGGCCCAGCCUGCUGCCCACUGAGAGCCCAGGAGACUCCGUGCUCUCUGGAGUACGUAGGCUAUGGGCCACUGGGUAGAGAAGCCCAGGCCCCAGCAGCCGGUGAGUUCGUGAGUUUGCAGUUCUGAAGUACAGGCAGGGCUGAGGACUCGGACCCAGCAAAGAAAAAGAGAUUUCUAGACUGGGGUACAGGGGCAAGGAUAGCAAGAGAUCACGGGGUCCUUGAACCUCCGAAGCCAGGAGGGUCUGGAUAACAGGGGGCCUUGGGAAAGCUGACCAUAGGAGAGAUUUUUCCUGGCCCGAGGGGGACCGAAGGGUCCGCCCUGGUUUUGAGGACAGUUGCAGUCGCUGAAGCUGUUACAGAUAGGGCCGCUUCAGUACAGGACUUCACAGGAUCAAGCUCCAGGAAAAUGGAACCAGCCUCCCUCAGCAACCCUCAACAAAGCAUAGACUCACCGUUUUCAAAGAAAGGAGCUUGGUUCACGGCCAGCCUCCU